GCCUACGGGGGGCAGCAGUGAGGAAUAUUGGUCAAUGGGCGCGAGCCUGAACCAGCCAAGUCGCGUGAGGGAUGACGGUCCUACGGAUUGUAAACCUCUUUUGCCGGGGAGCAAGCGUGCGUUCGUGAACGCGCGUCGAGAGUACCCGGAGAAAAAGCAUCGGCUAACUCCGUGCCAGCAGCCGCGGUAAUACGGAGGAUGCGAGCGUUGUCCGGAUUUAUUGGGUUUAAAGGGUGCGUAGGCGGGAUGCCAAUUCAGCGGUAAAAAUGCGGUGCUCAACACCGUCGAGCCGUUGAAACUGGCUU
rnacentral:rRNA from 1 species